CAAUAGCGUAUAUUUAAGUUGUUGCAGUUAAAAAGCUCGUAGUUGGAUUUCGGGUGGGACGCAGCGGUCUCGCAUUGCGUUUGUACUGCUGCAGCCCUCCUUCUUGCCGGGGGCGGCCUCUCGGACUUCACUGUCUGGGGGUCAGAAUCGGCGAUGUUACUUUGAGUAAAUUAGAGUGUUCAAAGCAAGCUUACGCUCUGAAUAUAAUAGCAUGGGAUAACACGACAGGACUCUGGCCUAUCGUGUUGGUCUAUAGGACCAGAGUAAUGAUUAAGAGGGACAGUCGAGGGCAUUCGUAUUCCGUUGUCAGAGGUGAAAUUCUUGGAUUUACGGAAGACGAACAUCUGCGAAAGCAUUUGCCAAGGAUGUUUUCAUUGA
rnacentral:rRNA from 1 species